rnacentral:rRNA from 1 species
GACGAACGCUGGCGGCGUGCUUAACACAUGCAAGUCGAACGAUGAAGAAGAGAAACGCGAACUUCGGUUCAAAUUUCACUUCGGAUUAGUGGCAGACGGGUGAGUAACGCGUGAGCAACCUACCUCUUACAAAGGGAUAGCCUCGGGAAACCGUGAUUAAUACCAUAUGACACAUUCAUAAGGCAUCUUAAGAAUGUUAAAGCUACGGCGGUAAGAGAUGGGCUCGCGUCCCAUUAGCUAGUUGGUGAGGUAACGGCCCACCAAGGCGACGAUGGGUAGCCGGCCUGAGAGGGUGAACGGUCACAUUGGAACUGAGACACGGUCCAAACUCCUACGGGAGGCAGCAGUGGGGAAUAUUGCACAAUGGAGGGAACUCUGAUGCAGCGACGCCGCGUGAGCGAUGAAGGAAUUCGUUUCGUAAAGCUCUGUUCUAUGGGAAGAAAAGGACUGUACCAUAGGAGAAAGCCCCGGCUAAAUACGUG